rnacentral:rRNA from 1 species
UACGUAGGGUGCGAGCGUUAAUCGGAAUUACUGGGCGUAAAGAGUGUGUAGGCGGUGCUCUAAGUUUGGUGUGAAAUCUCCCGGCUCAACUGGGAGGGUGCGCCGAAAACUGGAAUGCUUGAACGUGGGAGAGGAAAGCGGAAUUCCUGGUGUAGCGGUGAAAUGCGUAGAUAUCAGGAGGAACACCUGCGGUGUAGACGGCUUUCUGGACCAUUGUUGACGCUGAGACACGAAAGCGUGGGUAGCAAACAGG